GUUGACCUCGGAUCAGGUAGGGAUACCCGCUGAACUUAAGCAUAUCAAUAAGCGGAGGAAAAGAAACCAACAGGGAUUGCUCUAGUAACGGCGAGUGAAGCAGCAAUAGCUCAAAUUUGAAAUCUGGCGUCUUCGACGUCCGAGUUGUAAUUUGUAGAGGAUGCUUCUGAGUAACCACCGACCUAAGUUCCUUGGAACAGGACGUCAUAGAGGGUGAGAAUCCCGUAUGCGGUCGGAAAGGUGCUCUAUACGUAGCUCCUUCGACGAGUCGAGUUGUUUGGGAAUGCAGCUCUAAAUGGGAGGUAAAUUUCUUCUAAAGCUAAAUAUUGGCCAGAGACCGAUAGCGCACAAGUAGAGUGAUCGAAAGAUGAAAAGCACUUUGGAAAGAGAGUUAAA
rnacentral:rRNA from 1 species